CUAAGGCACAGAGAAGUGAAGUGAGCUAUGAAGUAGAGGAACUAGAAUUGGAUCCAGAUCUUUCGAUUUGCUUCCUGUGGUCCUACCUUGGUUCCUCCCACCAUUGUUUCCUGUCUCUUGCAAGCUUUCAUUUCUUUCCUGGAAUAGAGUCAUCUUUUGCACAAGCUUCUUCAGUGCAGAAAGGUGCUUCUGGCUCUCUCAAGAAGAAAAUAACAUUCCUAUCUAAUGUGACUUGCACCUGCUUUAAAAGUUUAACACCCGGGACUAGAUGGAAGACAUGGUUAUGUAUUUGCAGUUUAAGAAAUGCCCCCUGGAGAGCCAACAUGUCUACCCAAAGAUGGGCAUCUAAUCGUGGACUUCUGCGGGUUGGCCCAGGUUAGUGGGGAACUGUUCCAGGGUUGGCUUUUUGUGCCAUUUUGUACCGGUCUGCUCUCUCCAUCUAUACAUAAAGUCAGUCCAGGAAGGGAAGAAAUAUCUAGCGGUUGCAGCCGAUGAAGCGAUGGAAAGAAAAGCUUUUCUGAACCAGCUCAGGAGGAAAACAGGACCCUCCUUGCUUCAGAGAUGGCAGUGUCUGCAGAAGAACGAGGAAAAUGGCCACCCGGCACACCCUUGGCAUUCCCCGCUCUCUCCAAACUUGCCCUGCCUUCCAAGUGUAUAAAAGGUGUAAUUAGGGCUUAGGCCACUGGGUGGCGGGGAGCCGACGGCAGUGAACGAACCCUGUGGAGAUGACUUGUAAAGACUAUCCCAGCAGGAUGAGUUACACAAUUAAUUGUAGAGCUGGAUGGGAACUUGACCACAAUCUAAUCCAACCAUUUCAUUUUAUAAAAUUGGAAAAUGAGAGCUAGGAAAACGAAAUGACUCGUCGAAAGGUCAUGGAACUGGUUGGAAGAUCUAGCCCAGACUCCACAUUUUGUCUAUGAAGAAAAUGAGAUCCGAUGGAGUUUAUAUGGCUUUUCUACGGCCGCACAGUAGCCUUAGUGUGGACCUUGACCAUCUCUCUUUGGGAGUUUGCUCCAGUGAUAUAGGUCACAACCAUCCACACGAGACCGCCCUAUGUGACUCUUCUUCAUGUCCCCAUUAAGCUGCUGCAAGGUGUCCAGCAUGCUAGAGGCAUUUUUUAUUUCUCCUGAUGUCAUGAGGGCACUCGUAGAAAACACUGGCUGCUUACCUCUUGCACCUCAGUUUUGCCAUGUGAGAGCCCAUCUUCACUUUGAUCCCUUCCUUUGUCCCCUCCCUUUCUCCCCCUCAAAUGCCUUCCUAAAAUCCAGAUACACUCUCUAUGUCUACAGCAUUUCUUUGAUCUAGUAUAGCAGUCUUGUCUAUAAAGGAAAUCAAAUUAGGCUGUCACAACUCAUUCCUAAUAGACCAUGAUUACUCUUAGUCAUCACGUCCUCUCUUUCAAAGAGCUCGUAUAAUGUUCUUGGUACAGGCAGGUGGUGAGAAGACGAGGCACUGAGUUUGGCCUGGGUGUAACUGUACUUGAGUAUAGAUCUAGAGCUGGAAUGGACUGUGGAGGGCUUCUAGUCUAACCAAAUGAAGAUUUGAAGCUUCUAGAGAUUAACUUGUCCAAAGACAGAAAUAAUAAGUAGUAGGGUUGGGAUAUGGACUUAGGUUCCAGGAGUCCAAGUUCAUCAUUUUUUCUAUAGUUACUUUAUGUAUCACAAUAUUUUUAUUUAUUAAUGACUAUUAGGGUCAUUAAUCAAUAAACAAUAAAUAACAAUAAAACAAAAAUCUUUAACGUAUAAACAGAAAGAUAUAUUAAUUUAUAUAUUAGUUUGGGGCAACGAGAUGGUGCAGUGUUUAGAGCACCAGUCCUGGAGUCAGGAAGACCUGAAUUCAAAUCUGGUCUCAGACAUUAAAUACUUCCUAGCUAUGUGACCCUGGGCAAAUCAUUUAUUUAAGCCCAAUUGCCUCUCAAAAAGAAAAAAACAAAAAGAAUUACUCCUGUGUAUUGUUUUUUUUUGGGAGGGGGUAGAUAUGUUCAAUAUUCUGUCUUUUCCCAUUUCAUUCAGAUCAUUUAAUGCAUAUGAUGGGUUUUUUUUUUUUUUUAAUUUUCUGAGGCAAUUGGGGACUUGCCCAGGGUCACACAGUUAGGCAGUAUUAAGUGUCUGAGAUCACAUUUGAACUCAGAUCCUCCUGACUUUAAGGCUGGUGCUCUAUCCACUGCGCCACCUAGCUGCCCUGCAUAUGAUGUCUUAAUAGGAUAUUAUUCUGUGGAAUGGAGAAUUUGGUGGGGGAAGCAAUGGCACUCCAAUCUCAGCACUUUGUUUGGACAGCUCCUCUCUCUCCACCCUCAGUCUUGUGUUAUUCUUGUUGUGUAGGUCUGUCUUUUGAAUUCCAAGCUCCCAGAAGAUCAAAAUAUCAUAUUUUAAAUCUUUGUCUCUCUAGUCUUUUUGAUUUUAAGUUUCUAGAGGAGUAAAAUGGUAUAUUUAAAAUUUUUAUGACUAGUAUGGUGGCUUGCACAUGUUAGAAUUAGGUGCUUCAUAGAUGCUUUUUGACUUGGACUAAAAGGGGAACUCAAUUUAAUAACAACUAAGUAUAACAUAGGUCACCACUAAAAGAUGAAGUCUUGGAAAUUUCAAGCCAAAUAAAAUUCAUCCCUAUUGAGAGGCUACACAUUGUAGUGGAAAGAUCACUAGACUGGGAAUCAGGAGGCCUAGAUUAUAGGUCUAACGCUGCUGCUCUCUAGUUAUGUGGUCUUUGUAUGUCCCUUCACCUUGCUGCCCCUCAAUUUUUUAUCUCUAAAAUGGGAGAAUUGAAGUAGAUGGCUUCUCUUCUAGAAUAUUGCAGAAGAACUGAUACUACAGACAACAAAAAUUUUUUAAAAAUGCUUUUUGAGCUUUAUUUAGGGGCAAUGCAAACAAAAUAAAAUCAGUAUAUCUAGUAGUCGGAAUAGCCAGUUUUAGAGUAUGUGAAAUGAAGCUGAGAAGCCAGAACGAGGAUUCCAGAGUGCCACCAGAAAAGUGCAGACCAUGCUAUAGGAAGUUAGUAAUUAAGGGCAAGUAGGAGGUGCCAUUAGGGCACAGAGCGCUGGACCCAAGGUCAGAAACACCUGAAUUCAUCUCUGAUUUCAGACGUUCAUUAGCUGUGUGGCCCUGGGCAAGCUAAUUAACCUUUCUCUGCAAAGUUUUCUCAGCUGUAAAAUGGGAAUAGUAAUAGCAAGGUUGUUGGGAGUAACAAAUGAAAUAAUAUUUGUUAAGUGCUUAGCACAAUAUUUGGCACAUGGGAGAUGUAAUGGGAUGAGGCUUGAGUUGAUGCACUGAGGUCCCAAGCACGUGAGGCUAAAUAGCAAUUGGACCACACUCUAUUAAUAUAUAUGCUUGGAGAAAGAAUGGCCCCUACCCACUCUUUGUGCAAGUCCUGAUGUGUUGUAUAGGAAAUGACGUUUUUGGUGGGUGGAGGCAGGGGAGUGGAAAGGGAAGCGGAAGGAGAGACUGCUUGCUGGCGUCUUGACACAGCUACUCAUAUUGCCAUCGCAACCGCCCUUCACCUCUGAUCCCCCUCUGCUAGUUGUCUUCCUGUGGCAGCUGUCCAUAUUGCUAUCACAGUCCUUCUUCUCCUCUACUGAGAAUAAAGAUUGAAGAUUUUCCCCUUAACCUGAA